UAUAAUUCCUUAGCCACAAACCAAAGAAGUUUCCAGAGAAGGAAAAAAAGAAAGAAGCCUCAUCUCUUCUUCUUCACCAAGAAGAAAUAUUUUCCUACACCAUCCAUUAAAGCUUGAGGUUUGGGAAUUCAAGCUUCUAUUGUUUAUUAUCUACCUCUAGCAACAAUAAAAUAAGAUCGUACGGGUAUUUGGAUUGGAGAAAUAGAGAAUUUGGAGGGUUAAACAACGGGCUAUUUUAUUGUGCUUUAUGAAAUUUGGAUUAAGCGAUCGAGUGUUUUCUUUCAGGAUUAAUAUACGAUGAUGUGGUCGAGCUUCCAUUCGUUGUUUCGGAAGUCUCAGUCAUGGGAGGUCUUAUUCUUCUUAGAGCUGCAGUAGUCAUGAUAGUAGACCUAGCUAGUAGCAGACGAUUUAUGUUUAUAUUAUGACCUGCUAAAAUGAUGUAUUUUGGAAAAAAUGAAUUAUCCAGGGAUUUAAUAUAUGGUUAAUUGGUAUUUUAUACAGAGUGGUUUGUGCGUUUUUACAGGUGUGGUUUAUUAAGUUUACAGGCGUUAUAUUGCCGAUUUUUCGAAAAUGGUUUUAUUAAGUAUUAUAACGAUUUUGAAACGCGAAAAAGUUUUAGGUAAAUUUAGGCUUGCUACGGGUUUCGGAACCAAAAUUCCCAUUCCCUAGCGCCGGUCGCGGCCCUCGAUUUCGGGUCGUGACAAAUGUGGUAUCAGAGCAGUUGGUCCAGGAUACCACUGCUUUGUGUGAGUCUACCUAGGAAACUACUGCAGCACAUAGGAUUCGAGUCAUGUCUUUUGCAGGUUGUCUUCUGUUCUCUAUAGUUUCAACCUUCCUAUUUAGGAUAUAAGCCGCGAUUAUCAUGUGAUACUGCGUGCGAAUUAAAUAAUUAGUAUUUAUGCGACUUGGUGACUAGGCUUAGGUAGGAAGUAAUGUAUAGUGUGGGGAUGUUAUGAUAAGCAUACGAUAUAAGCGUUUAAGGAUGACUGAUAGAAAGGUGUAGAUUUAAAGAGCCGGAAGAACUUACCAAGUUACAGAGUUAAAGUCUGGAGAACUUACAAAGUUAAAAGUUUAUGAAUUAAAGUUAAUUGUUUAAACGAUUUUAAAAGCAUAAUUGUGCCUAGACCCGAGAUAGAAAUGCAUUAUUGCCACGACAUGAAUAGAACUGCAUCACUACAUACACAUUAAAUGGAAAGAAUAAUAAAUGAAUUCAUACAUUAGUAGGACAUGCAUCAUGCUCAUUUGGCCUAGACAAAAGGUAAGUUGUGGCAACUCUUUGGGGAUGAGAGACGUCAUCACCCUAGAGCACAAUUAUGCUAAUCUUUAAAGGAUUUGAAUGUGAUUUUUAUAAAGGGUCAUUUUCUUUGAAUUGUAAAGAUAUUUGAAUUAUUUUUUUUAGAGAUUGGUAUUAAACGUAAGUAUACCUAGACCGAAACUCUGUAACGAAGGUAAAAUGCUCGAGGUUAAGUUACAAACAACUCUAAAAGGCACGACAAACGUGUAUUAAAACACAAAAUGAAGAAUUGUGUUUUGAAUAUACAACGUUGGUAGUAGUUCAACGAACUAUAGUGGGAGUAGAAUAGUAAGGCGUAUCUAUAAGCGUUAAGCGAUGAGUUAGGAUUUUCUUAUCUGUAAAUGAGGUGUUUAGGACAUCAUGCUGUAAGAUAGUAGAUGUAUAAAGAAAGAUAGCAGAACCUAGUAAGUAAAUUGUAAGACUAAGCUAAUAGAGAUAAGGGACGAUCCUUACUAGUUACAGAAGCGAAUUUUAAGUGAUAUCAGGGAAUCGCCAAGAUUAGUAAAACUAAAGUAUAUUAAGAGUACUAAUUGGAACUCCGUAUAAAUACAAAUACUGUAAAGUAUUUGGUUAAUUAGAUUAAGAGACGAGACAUGUGUAUUAUACGGAGUAAGUUAGGAAAUUAGAUAAGCUAAUUAAGGAACUAAGAAACAAAAUUGUUAUGAGACUUAAAUCUGAAUAGCAAAGAAUGAAAGUUAUAGUACGAUAGCUAUAAAGAUUGUCGGUGACUCAUAAAGGAGAACAUGAACGCUGCAUGUGAAAGGUUAACACAUGUUUCAUGUUGCACAUGAUCCUAAGUAUAAAAUUUAAGGAUUUGUAUAUUAGGAUCAACGAAGAAAUCAAAGUAAACUAAUGUUUAAAGUAUAUAACGUAUUAAAGACGCAUGUAACUGGAUAAGAACCUUGUGAUAAGGAUAAGAAAGGGAAUAACUUAAUGCAAGAAAGAUAGAAAAUGGUGUAUAAUGCAUAUAGAGAUGUCUAGUAUAGAUUCAACUCUAUAAGAUUCGAUACGAGAGGUCAUGAAGUGGGUAAUUGACAUCAAAGAAGAAAUAUACCCAUCUACUAUAGAACAUCGAUAAGGAUAUCAUGUAUACACAUGUACAUGAUUGAACGUAAAGAAGGCGGAAGACGUUAAGGAACGUGACGUCGAACUUCGACGAAUUUAUAUAUUAAAAGAUAAGUGUUGAAACAGGAUAUGAGAAAUGACUCAUGACGGAAUAAUACAAAUUAUGAAUUUUUUUUUUAAACAAUGAAGGCGUAUGAAUAGAAAAGCUACAUGAAAGACGCAAAGGUAUGCAAACCUAAUGGAAAAGAUUGAAGUAAGGAAACUUCACAAGUAGUAAAGCUAAUUGCAGGAUAGCUAAAUCAUGUUUUAUAAUAAGUCUUAUUUAAUUAUGUGCUCGGAUCAAUGAAGUAAGACGGAAAUAUGGUAUAUGAGUUGUAAAACUUUAAGGAAGAGACAAACCAUUAAAGUAGUUGUAUAAAGUUGUAGUGGAAGAAGAAGCAUUGAGGAGCACGUAAACAUGUUAGCUGUUGACAUUAAAUUAUUAUUGAAAUUAUAAUAUAAGGUUCAGGCGUCCGCAGAAUGGAUGCAGACACUUGAUAAAGAUAUGUUGAUGGAUUAUUCAUUGUCAAGGUGAAGUGAAGGUGAAUGUGACUACGAACAUUUCAUAUGGAUUUUGGUUAUAUAUCAAGUGGGAUAAUCCAAAACUUAUAACUACGUUUGGACUAGUAGUUACUUUCAAUUAAGUUCAAAGAAUUCAACUAAAGAAACUACAUGUCAAAUUAAGAAAAGUUCGGGGUAGGUAGUUUGGACAAACUUUCCGACCUCUAACGCUUGUCAAGGUCAAUUUGAAUCUAAAUGGAAAUUGUAAAGAAAGUUACAGAGAGUGCAUUUAAAGGAAGUAAUAAACAAUUGGACGAUUUUAAGUGAUUCAUUUAAUGGUUUAAGUUUACCAUUAAAUCAUCAACAUGUUUGGAAUACAUUAACCUUAAUAAAAGUUAUUAUAUCAAAAUUUUAACAAUUAGAGUACCGCGAAUUCAUUUAUGAUUGAAGUAUUAGUUCGUUCGUGUUAGGAACGCAAUUUUACACUGAAAUUGGUUAAAGUUAAGGGAGUUUAUUGGAUUUAGAAUGUGAAAGUAAAGAGCGUAACAAGUGUUUAAGAUGGUUAUUUUGGAGGUAAUUUUGGACGUGUUCGUGAAAACUUUUUGUAAUUACUCUUAAUGCCUUGUGGAAGGAGUAUGUCAGAAAGGAUAACGACAAGCUCGGAUUAAUCCUGAAAAACAAGACCUGCCUUAGGCAAGCAGGCAAACAUUUACCCUUAAGUAAGCCUAUUAAUUAAAGGUUAAGCACAAUUCUAAUGCUAAUCUAGGAAAGCCACUUCUGGAUCAAUUUUCGAUCCCAAGAAAUGUUAUUUUGGACCUAGGACCAAAAUAAAAGUUGUAGGUAGUGCAGCAUAGAAUAAGUUUCAAGUGAUAAAUUAAAACUUGGAUAAAUUUUAGAUGCUGGUUUUGUGGCCUGAAGCGGGCUAAAAACCUAAAGUUUACAAAAUUAAGAAGAAGUGAAUUUUAGUUAGUUUGGAAAACUAACUACGUAAUACAUGGAUAACGUAAUACAAAAUAAGUAUAAGUUAGAAAAUCGUAGAAUAAAAUAUCCUAUGAGAUUAUGCCUUAAGGGGAUGGCGGAAGUAGUGAGCACUACCAAUAUUAAAAUAAUUGGAUGGUAAGCAUUAUAAGAAAAUUCGAGGACGAAUUUUUUUUUAAGGGGGGAAGAAUGUAAUGCCCCGCAUUUUUGGAGAAAUGUUUAAUUGGAUUAAACAUAUUAUUUUAGCCAAAGGGAGCUAAAAUAAGGAAAUUUUUGUAAACAAGGCGGAGAAUGGCGUUUUGACAAAGGAUUAAUUUUAAUAAAGUUGGACUAUAUAUUAGAUGAAAUUAAUUGGAUUAAAAUUUUAUCUCGUAUUUGGAUAUCGAGAUAAGCAUAUUGUUAUUUAAUGGAAAAAUUGGAGAAAUUCCCAUUAAACAAAAUAAAUGAUUUUUAAAGUGGAUAUUUAAUAUCCGCAAAUUUUAUUAUUUGGAUUAUUUUAAGAGAAUCCAUAAAUAUUUGGAAUAUUAUUUUUAGAUAGGGAUUUAAGCGCGAUAAAUAAAUUAUACGGCUAAAUAAUAAAUUUAAGGAAAAAGGCGAUAAUUAAUAUUUUGGAUUAAGAAAAGUAGUCCGUAUAAUUUAUAAUCGAUGAGAGUUUGGAUUUAGCCCGAGAAAUUUAUCGACGUACUUAAUUAAUAAAUUAAUGAAUAAAUAAAUUAAUAGGAAUUCUAAAUAACCAAAAUAAAUGGUGUAGAGCCAAAUUAUGAUAGGCCUAAUUAAUACUACAAUUUAUAAGCCCAAAAUUAAUAAUGAAAUAAAAUAAAAGCCAAGCCCAAUCCAUUCCCUUUUUGUGAUAUUAAAAACAAAUGAGCAAUAUAAUUCCUUAGCCACAAACCAAAGAAGUUUCCAGAGAAGGAAAAAAAGAAAGAAGCCUCAUCUCUUCUUCUUCACCAAGAAGAAAUAUUUUCCUACACCAUCCAUUAAAGCUUGAGGUUUGGGAAUUCAAGCUUCUAUUGUUUAUUAUCUACCUCUAGCAACAAUAAAAUAAGAUCGUACGGGUAUUUGGAUUGGAGAAAUAGAGAAUUUGGAGGGUUAAACAACGGGCUAUUUUAUUGUGCUUUAUGAAAUUUGGAUUAAGCGAUCGAGUGUUUUCUUUCAGGAUUAAUAUACGAUGAUGUGGUCGAGCUUCCAUUCGUUGUUUCGGAAGUCUCAGUCAUGGGAGGUCUUAUUCUUCUUAGAGCUGCAGUAGUCAUGACCUAGCUAGUAGCAGACGAUUUAUGUUUAUAUUAUGACCUGCUAAAAUGAUGUAUUUUGGAAAAAAUGAAUUAUCCAGGGAUUUAAUAUAUGGUUAAUUGGUAUUUUAUACAGAGUGGUUUGUGCGUUUUUACAGGUGUGGUUUAUUAAGUUUACAGGCGUUAUAUUGCCGAUUUUUCGAAAAUGGUUUUAUUAAGUAUUAUAACGAUUUUGAAACGCGAAAAAGUUUUAGGUAAAUUUAGGCUUGCUACGGGUUUCGGAACCAAAAUUCCCAUUCCCUAGCGCCGGUCGCGGCCCUCGAUUUCGGGUCGUGACAAAUGUGGUAUCAGAGCAGUUGGUCCAGGAUACCACUGCUUUGUGUGAGUCUACCUAGGAAACUACUGCAGCACAUAGGAUUCGAGUCAUGUCUUUUGCAGGUUGUCUUCUGUUCUCUAUAGUUUCAACCUUCCUAUUUAGGAUAUAAGCCGCGAUUAUCAUGUGAUACUGCGUGCGAAUUAAAUAAUUAGUAUUUAUGCGACUUGGUGACUAGGCUUAGGUAGGAAGUAAUGUAUAGUGUGGGGAUGUUAUGAUAAGCAUACGAUAUAAGCGUUUAAGGAUGACUGAUAGAAAGGUGUAGAUUUAAAGAGCCGGAAGAACUUACCAAGUUACAGAGUUAAAGUCUGGAGAACUUACAAAGUUAAAAGUUUAUGAAUUAAAGUUAAUUGUUUAAACGAUUUUAAAAGCAUAAUUGUGCCUAGACCCGAGAUAGAAAUGCAUUAUUGCCACGACAUGAAUAGAACUGCAUCACUACAUACACAUUAAAUGGAAAGAAUAAUAAAUGAAUUCAUACAUUAGUAGGACAUGCAUCAUGCUCAUUUGGCCUAGACAAAAGGUAAGUUGUGGCAACUCUUUGGGGAUGAGAGACGUCAUCACCCUAGAGCACAAUUAUGCUAAUCUUUAAAGGAUUUGAAUGUGAUUUUUAUAAAGGGUCAUUUUCUUUGAAUUGUAAAGAUAUUUGAAUUAUUUUUUUUAGAGAUUGGUAUUAAACGUAAGUAUACCUAGACCGAAACUCUGUAACGAAGGUAAAAUGCUCGAGGUUAAGUUACAAACAACUCUAAAAGGCACGACAAACGUGUAUUAAAACACAAAAUGAAGAAUUGUGUUUUGAAUAUACAACGUUGGUAGUAGUUCAACGAACUAUAGUGGGAGUAGAAUAGUAAGGCGUAUCUAUAAGCGUUAAGCGAUGAGUUAGGAUUUUCUUAUCUGUAAAUGAGGUGUUUAGGACAUCAUGCUGUAAGAUAGUAGAUGUAUAAAGAAAGAUAGCAGAACCUAGUAAGUAAAUUGUAAGACUAAGCUAAUAGAGAUAAGGGACGAUCCUUACUAGUUACAGAAGCGAAUUUUAAGUGAUAUCAGGGAAUCGCCAAGAUUAGUAAAACUAAAGUAUAUUAAGAGUACUAAUUGGAACUCCGUAUAAAUACAAAUACUGUAAAGUAUUUGGUUAAUUAGAUUAAGAGACGAGACAUGUGUAUUAUACGGAGUAAGUUAGGAAAUUAGAUAAGCUAAUUAAGGAACUAAGAAACAAAAUUGUUAUGAGACUUAAAUCUGAAUAGCAAAGAAUGAAAGUUAUAGUACGAUAGCUAUAAAGAUUGUCGGUGACUCAUAAAGGAGAACAUGAACGCUGCAUGUGAAAGGUUAACACAUGUUUCAUGUUGCACAUGAUCCUAAGUAUAAAAUUUAAGGAUUUGUAUAUUAGGAUCAACGAAGAAAUCAAAGUAAACUAAUGUUUAAAGUAUAUAACGUAUUAAAGACGCAUGUAACUGGAUAAGAACCUUGUGAUAAGGAUAAGAAAGGGAAUAACUUAAUGCAAGAAAGAUAGAAAAUGGUGUAUAAUGCAUAUAGAGAUGUCUAGUAUAGAUUCAACUCUAUAAGAUUCGAUACGAGAGGUCAUGAAGUGGGUAAUUGACAUCAAAGAAGAAAUAUACCCAUCUACUAUAGAACAUCGAUAAGGAUAUCAUGUAUACACAUGUACAUGAUUGAACGUAAAGAAGGCGGAAGACGUUAAGGAACGUGACGUCGAACUUCGACGAAUUUAUAUAUUAAAAGAUAAGUGUUGAAACAGGAUAUGAGAAAUGACUCAUGACGGAAUAAUACAAAUUAUGAAUUUUUUUUUUAAACAAUGAAGGCGUAUGAAUAGAAAAGCUACAUGAAAGACGCAAAGGUAUGCAAACCUAAUGGAAAAGAUUGAAGUAAGGAAACUUCACAAGUAGUAAAGCUAAUUGCAGGAUAGCUAAAUCAUGUUUUAUAAUAAGUCUUAUUUAAUUAUGUGCUCGGAUCAAUGAAGUAAGACGGAAAUAUGGUAUAUGAGUUGUAAAACUUUAAGGAAGAGACAAACCAUUAAAGUAGUUGUAUAAAGUUGUAGUGGAAGAAGAAGCAUUGAGGAGCACGUAAACAUGUUAGCUGUUGACAUUAAAUUAUUAUUGAAAUUAUAAUAUAAGGUUCAGGCGUCCGCAGAAUGGAUGCAGACACUUGAUAAAGAUAUGUUGAUGGAUUAUUCAUUGUCAAGGUGAAGUGAAGGUGAAUGUGACUACGAACAUUUCAUAUGGAUUUUGGUUAUAUAUCAAGUGGGAUAAUCCAAAACUUAUAACUACGUUUGGACUAGUAGUUACUUUCAAUUAAGUUCAAAGAAUUCAACUAAAGAAACUACAUGUCAAAUUAAGAAAAGUUCGGGGUAGGUAGUUUGGACAAACUUUCCGACCUCUAACGCUUGUCAAGGUCAAUUUGAAUCUAAAUGGAAAUUGUAAAGAAAGUUACAGAGAGUGCAUUUAAAGGAAGUAAUAAACAAUUGGACGAUUUUAAGUGAUUCAUUUAAUGGUUUAAGUUUACCAUUAAAUCAUCAACAUGUUUGGAAUACAUUAACCUUAAUAAAAGUUAUUAUAUCAAAAUUUUAACAAUUAGAGUACCGCGAAUUCAUUUAUGAUUGAAGUAUUAGUUCGUUCGUGUUAGGAACGCAAUUUUACACUGAAAUUGGUUAAAGUUAAGGGAGUUUAUUGGAUUUAGAAUGUGAAAGUAAAGAGCGUAACAAGUGUUUAAGAUGGUUAUUUUGGAGGUAAUUUUGGACGUGUUCGUGAAAACUUUUUGUAAUUACUCUUAAUGCCUUGUGGAAGGAGUAUGUCAGAAAGGAUAACGACAAGCUCGGAUUAAUCCUGAAAAACAAGACCUGCCUUAGGCAAGCAGGCAAACAUUUACCCUUAAGUAAGCCUAUUAAUUAAAGGUUAAGCACAAUUCUAAUGCUAAUCUAGGAAAGCCACUUCUGGAUCAAUUUUCGAUCCCAAGAAAUGUUAUUUUGGACCUAGGACCAAAAUAAAAGUUGUAGGUAGUGCAGCAUAGAAUAAGUUUCAAGUGAUAAAUUAAAACUUGGAUAAAUUUUAGAUGCUGGUUUUGUGGCCUGAAGCGGGCUAAAAACCUAAAGUUUACAAAAUUAAGAAGAAGUGAAUUUUAGUUAGUUUGGAAAACUAACUACGUAAUACAUGGAUAACGUAAUACAAAAUAAGUAUAAGUUAGAAAAUCGUAGAAUAAAAUAUCCUAUGAGAUUAUGCCUUAAGGGGAUGGCGGAAGUAGUGAGCACUACCAAUAUUAAAAUAAUUGGAUGGUAAGCAUUAUAAGAAAAUUCGAGGACGAAUUUUUUUUUAAGGGGGGAAGAAUGUAAUGCCCCGCAUUUUUGGAGAAAUGUUUAAUUGGAUUAAACAUAUUAUUUUAGCCAAAGGGAGCUAAAAUAAGGAAAUUUUUGUAAACAAGGCGGAGAAUGGCGUUUUGACAAAGGAUUAAUUUUAAUAAAGUUGGACUAUAUAUUAGAUGAAAUUAAUUGGAUUAAAAUUUUAUCUCGUAUUUGGAUAUCGAGAUAAGCAUAUUGUUAUUUAAUGGAAAAAUUGGAGAAAUUCCCAUUAAACAAAAUAAAUGAUUUUUAAAGUGGAUAUUUAAUAUCCGCAAAUUUUAUUAUUUGGAUUAUUUUAAGAGAAUCCAUAAAUAUUUGGAAUAUUAUUUUUAGAUAGGGAUUUAAGCGCGAUAAAUAAAUUAUACGGCUAAAUAAUAAAUUUAAGGAAAAAGGCGAUAAUUAAUAUUUUGGAUUAAGAAAAGUAGUCCGUAUAAUUUAUAAUCGAUGAGAGUUUGGAUUUAGCCCGAGAAAUUUAUCGACGUACUUAAUUAAUAAAUUAAUGAAUAAAUAAAUUAAUAGGAAUUCUAAAUAACCAAAAUAAAUGGUGUAGAGCCAAAUUAUGAUAGGCCUAAUUAAUACUACAAUUUAUAAGCCCAAAAUUAAUAAUGAAAUAAAAUAAAAGCCAAGCCCAAUCCAUUCCCUUUUUGUGAUAUUAAAAACAAAUGAGCAAUAUAAUUCCUUAGCCACAAACCAAAGAAGUUUCCAGAGAAGGAAAAAAAGAAAGAAGCCUCAUCUCUUCUUCUUCACCAAGAAGAAAUAUUUUCCUACACCAUCCAUUAAAGCUUGAGGUUUGGGAAUUCAAGCUUCUAUUGUUUAUUAUCUACCUCUAGCAACAAUAAAAUAAGAUCGUACGGGUAUUUGGAUUGGAGAAAUAGAGAAUUUGGAGGGUUAAACAACGGGCUAUUUUAUUGUGCUUUAUGAAAUUUGGAUUAAGCGAUCGAGUGUUUUCUUUCAGGAUUAAUAUACGAUGAUGUGGUCGAGCUUCCAUUCGUUGUUUCGGAAGUCUCAGUCAUGGGAGGUCUUAUUCUUCUUAGAGCUGCAGUAGUCAUGACCUAGCUAGUAGCAGACGAUUUAUGUUUAUAUUAUGACCUGCUAAAAUGAUGUAUUUUGGAAAAAAUGAAUUAUCCAGGGAUUUAAUAUAUGGUUAAUUGGUAUUUUAUACA